rnacentral:rRNA from 1 species
UACAGAGGUCCCAAGCGUUGUUCGGAUUCAUUGGGCGUAAAGGGUGCGUAGGCGGCGCGGUAAGUCGGGUGUGAAAUCUCGGGGCUUAACUCCGAAACUGCAUUCGAUACUGCCGUGCUUGAGGACUGGAGAGGAGACUGGAAUUUACGGUGUAGCGGUGAAAUGCGUAGAUAUCGUAAGGAAGACCAGUGGCGAAGGCGGGUCUCUGG